AAACCAGCACCUCAAGUGGUCAGGAUGAUUAUUGGGCCUAAAGCAUCCGUAGCCGGCUCUGUAAGUUUUCGGUUAAAUCUGUACGCUCAACGUACAGGCUGCUGGGAAUACUGCAGGGCUAGGGAGUGGGAGAGAUAGACGGUACUCGGGAGGAAGUGGUAAAAUGCUUUGAUCUCUCGAUGACCACCUGUGGCGAAGGCGGUCUACCAGAACACGUCCGACGGUGAGGGAUGAAAGCUGGGGGAGCAAACCGGAUUAGAAACCCGGGUAGUCC
rnacentral:rRNA from 1 species